rnacentral:rRNA from 1 species
CAAUAGCGUAUAUUUAAGUUGCUGCAGUUAAAAAGCUCGUAGUUGGAUUUCGGGUGGGAAUGGCCGGUCCGCCGUUUCGGUGUGCACUUGCUACGCCCACCUUGCUGCCGGGGACGUGCUCUUGAGUUCACGCUCUGGACACGGAGUCGGCGAGGUUACUUUGAGUAAAUUAGAGUGUUCAAAGCAGGCCUACGCUCUGAAUACAUUAGCAUGGAAUAACACGAUAGGACUCUGGCCUAUCUUGUUGGUCUGUAGGACCGGAGUAAUGAUUAAGAGGGACAGUCGGGGGCAUUCGUAUUUCAUUGUCAGAGGUGAAAUUCUUGGAUUUAUGAAAGACGAACUACUGCGAAAGCAUUUGCCAAGGAUGUUUUCAUUAA